GGAUCAUUACUAACAUUUUUAAAACCAGUAAAUCCAGUGAAGGAUACUGUACCCCCUCCCAACACUGACGAUGAAAACUGUACAGUUCCAUCAACAUCCACCUCCAGCAGUACAUCAGCUCCCCAACCUCCUGCCUUUCCAGUGCAGGAAGAUGCAACAGAGAUGGACGAUGAAGGGUGAAUUUCAAUUACUGAUACUGAUAACUUUCUAUUAAGACCUGAAGGUGAAAAGGAAGAUGUGUCACGCCCAAAGGAUGUGAUCUCAGAAGACCCUGCUCAAUGGCCAAGCAUCCUAAGCCAUACCGAACUGUGCCAAAUGGUAACAAGGGGACCCAUACAGGUAAAAGAUAUAAUUUUCCCCCAGAAUACAGACAAAAACCCAUGUAGAUUAAAGAAGGAAUAUUACAAUAUGACCAUGAAAAGUGGAGACAAAACACCACGAAGAUGGCUUCUGUA